rnacentral:rRNA from 1 species
CCGCGACUUAGGCCUAUCAGUCAGCGCAGCGUAAUAAUAGAAACUAACCAGGAUUCCCUUAGUAACGGCGAGUGAACUGGGAUACCAAUAUAAAAUAUGCACUCCGUGCAUAAUUUAGCCCGUCGAUACUAUCCUAGCAUAUUACCGGUCUCGGCCAGUAACCAAAUAUGCGGGAAUUGUAGCAUCGUAAUAAUAACAAUUAAUAUAUUACACGCACAGCCCAAUAAAGUCGUACUGGGGCAUCUUGUGAACACACAGCGUCUCCGCGUUGGAAAGAAAGUAUAUAUCCUCUUUGGAUAUGCCAUAGAGUGUGACAGCCACGUUUGACUCACUCAAGCACCGUACGCACAACACACACACAUAUAUAUAUUGGGGCGCCGCGUAUAAAAAUAUAUUUUUUAUAACCUGAGUCGAGUUAUUUGGGACUAUAUCUCUAAUAGUUUGGGGGGGGGGAAUGACUCAUCACAAA